AAACGAAGAAACGACGAACUUCGGAUUUAACCCUACUACCAAAUUACUUCGUAUCCGUCAUCGUUCCUUUUGGAACCAUAAACAAUCGUUCGAAUGAAAAUAUUGUGUCGGAUUAGAGAUGUAUAUCUUCAAAAACCGUACAUUUUUAUCUAUUAUCAUAUACUUGUGAAAAAAACCUAUAAAUUCGAUGUCUAAUAAGGUUUUCUGUAAUAUAACUAUUAUUUCAUAACUCUAAAUAUUUAUUAGUUACAAAAUAACAAAUAUUUUUGUUGAUUUUGCAAUCUACGGUCUUAUUGCAUAGUAUUGCAUUAUGUUUUAAUCUGUGGAAUAUUAGAAUUUUUGACAAUUGAUGGACAUUGACAAGUUGACUGGCGAAAAUCACAGCAAAUUGGAAUUGUAAUUUACAAGUAAAAUUAUUUAUUGUAUUGUUUUAAGGAGAGUACGACGACGAGUGCACCCAGCGACACAGGCGGACCUCUAAUCGGGUCCUUCGCAUUGACUGAACUGAAAAAAAAAGAAGUACUGGAGGGGGUU